AUCUGUGGGGACUUGUUCUUCAGUGAAAGGAUCCUGUCCAUGAAUAGCAGUGGAGCAGGGCAUGCAUUUUCUCAAGCAGCAUUAGGGCUUGGACCAUCAGCAUCCCACUCCUGUGUGGCAGAUGGGUCAUCUAUCUUCUCUUUCUCAUCCUUGAUCAGGCUUUGAAGUAUGAAAUAAUCUGUCUCAUGAAUAUGCAAAUAACCUUAGCUCUACUGAGGUAAAUAUGGAUAUAUCUGGGCCCUGAAAGCAUUGCCCAAUAGCCUCAUCCCUUCUCUACAGAAGCCCCUGAGAGAAAAGCUCUUCACCAUGGACUGGACCUGGAGGGUCUUCUGCUUGCUGGCAGUAGCUCCAGGUGCCCACUCCCAGGAACAGCUGGUGCAGUCUGGGGCUGAGGUGAAGAAGCCUGGGGCCUCAGUGAAGGUCUCCUGCAAAGCUUCUGGAUACAUUUUCACCGGUUAUAUUAUCAGCUGGCUGCGACAGGCCCCUGGACAAGGGUUUGAGUGGAUGGGAGGAAUCCACCCUGGUUAUGGUAGCACAAGCUACGCACAGAAGUUCCAGGGCAGAGUCACCAUGACCGGGGACACGUCCACAAGCACAGUCUACAUGGAACUGAGCAGUCUGAGAUCUGAGGACACGGCCAUGUAUUACUGUGCGGCAGACACAGUGUGA